UGGGGAAUAUUGGACAAUGGGGGCAACCCUGAUCCAGCAAUGCCACGUGUGUGAAGAAGGCCUGAGGGUUGUAAAGCACUUUUGUCAAUGAGGAAGCUUGUUAGGUUAAGAGCUAGACAAGUUGACGUUAGUUGAAGAAAAAGCACCGGCAAACUCUGUGCCAGCAGCCGCGGUAAUACAGAGGGUGCAAGCGUUAAUCGGAAUGACUGGGCGUAAAGCGCACGUAGGUGGAUAUUUAAGUCGGUUGUGAAACCCCUGGGCUCAACCUAGGAAUGGCAAUCGAUACUGGAUAUCUGGAGUACGAUAGAGGGUAGAGGAAUUUCUGGUGUAGCGGUGAAAUGCGUAGAUAUCAGAAGGAACAUCGGUGGCGAAGGCGUCUACCUGGAUUGAUACUGACACUGAGGAGCGAAAGCAUGGGUAGCAAACAGG
rnacentral:rRNA from 1 species